CAGUAGCCGCGGUAAUACGUAGGGUGCGAGCGUUAAUCGGAAUUACUGGGCGUAAAGCGUGCGUAGGCGGUGAGUUAAGUCUGCCGUGAAAUCCCCGGGCUCAACCUGGGAACGGCAGUGGAUACUGGCUCGCUAGAGUGUGUCAGAGGAUGGUGGGAUUCCAGGUGUAGCGGUGAAAUGCGUAGAGAUCUGGAGGAACAUCAGUGGCGAAGGCGGCUCACUGGACCAUAACUGACGCUGAGGCACGAAAGCUGGGGGAGCAAACAGGAUUAGAUACCCGAGUAGUCCCUGUCUCUUAUAC
rnacentral:rRNA from 1 species